rnacentral:rRNA from 1 species
GUUAAAGUUGUUGCAGUUAAAAAGCUCGUAGUUGGACUUGUGUGCGCCGGAUGCGGCGAUCUGCGGCCAAAAGGUCGUUGCGAUCUGCCCGUCCUGGCGCCGUAAAAUUUGCAACUGGGUCGCCGCUGGCCUUAAUUGAUCGGUGGCGUCUGCUCGGUUGCUCGUUUACUGUGAGAAAAUUGGAGUGUUCAAGGCAGGCGUGGAUUGCAACUGAACAUGUUAGCAUGGAAUAAUAAGAUAGGGCUCCGGCUCAUAUUUUGUUGGUUUCUAGAGCGUGGGAGUAAUGAUUGAUAGGGACAGUUGGGGGUGCUAGUAUUCAGCGGCCAGAGGUGAAAUUCAUGGAUUCGCUGAAGACUGACUUAUGCGAAAGCAUUCACCAAGGAUGUCCUCUUUAAUCAAGAACGAAAGUUGGGGGAUCGAAGACGAUCAGAUACCGUCGUAGUCUCAACCAUAAACGAUGUCGACUAGGGAUUGGCGGUCGUUUUUCAUAUAAGACUCCGUCAGCACCUUCCGAGAAAUCAAAGUGUUUGGACUCUUGGGGAAGUAUGGUCGCAAGGCUGAAACUUAAAGGAGUUGACGGAAGGGCACCACCAGGAGUGGAGCCUGCGGCUUAAUUUGACCCAACACGGGGAAACUUACCAGGUCCAGAGAUGUAGAGGAUUGACAGAUUGAAGCUCUUUCUUGAUCACUUCGGUGGUGGUGCAUGGCCGUUCUUAGUUGGUGGAGUGAUUUGUCUGGUUAAUUCCGUUAACGAACGAGACCUCAGCCUGCUUUUGUAGUCGGCCGUAUACCCUAGUGGUGUACGCGUUCCAACUUCUUAGAGGGACUAUCGAUGUGCAGUCGAUGGAAGUUUGAGGCAAUAACAGGUCUGUGAUGCCCUUAGAUGUUCUGGGCCGCACGCGCGCUACAAUGCUAGGUUCAACGAGUUGAUUUCGUACUUGGCCGAGAGGCCUGGUUAAUCUUCUGAAAUCCUAGCGUGCUUGGGCUUGCCUCUUGCAACUAGAGGCACCAACGAGGAAUUCCUAGUAGACGCAGGUCAUCAACCUGCAUCGAUUACGUCCCUGCCCUUUGUACACACCGCCCGUCGCUUCUACCGAUUGGUCGUCCCGGUGAACAAUCGGGAGGCCGUGCUCAUGGUCAGCAAUGGCCGGAGCGCGGUCGAACUUUUGUAAAUUUGGACGACUAGAGGAAGAAGAAGUCGU